rnacentral:rRNA from 1 species
CCUACGGGGGGCUGCAGUGAGGAAUAUUUGUCAAUGGGCGCGAGCCUGAACCAGCAAAGUCGCGUGAGGGAAGACGGUCCUAUGGAUUGUAAACUUCUUUUGUCGGGGAGCAAAAAACGCCACGCGUGGCGUUCCGAGAGUACCCGAAGAAAAAGAAUAGGCUAACUCCGUGCCAGCAGCCGCGAUAAUACGGAGGAUGCGAGCGUUAUCCGGAUUUAGUGGGUUUAAAGGGUGCGCAGGGGGAAGCUCAAGUCAGCGGUAAAAUUGAGAGGCUCAACCUCUUCGAGCCGUUGAAACUGGUUUUCUUGAGGGAGUGAGAAGUAUGCGGAAUGCGGGGUGGAGCGGUGAAAUGCAUAGAGAUCACGCAGAACUCCGAGUGCGAAGGCAGCAUACCGGCGCUCAACUGACGCUCAUGCACGAAAGUGUGGGUAUCGAACAGGAUUAGAUACACUAGUAGUC